CGCCUGUUUAUCAAAAACAUGUCCUUUUGAUUUUAAUUUAAGGUCUAACCUGCCCACUGAGUAGUUAAAUGGCCGCGGUACUCUGACCGUGCAAAGGUAGCAUAAUCAUUAGUUUUUUAAUUGGAAGCUGGAAUGAAUGGUUGAACAAGAAAAUAACUGUCUCUAUUUUAAUUUUAGAAUUUUAUUUUUAAGUAAAAAAGCUUAAAUGUUGUUGAAAGACAAGAAGACCCUAUAGAGUUUUAUAUUUUUUAAUAUUUGAAUUUUUAGAAUUAUAACCUUAAUAUAUUAAAAUUUAUUUAGUUGGGGAGAUUGAAAAAUUAAAUUAACUUUUUUUAUUAUUAUAUACAUUUAUUAGUGAUUAUUUGAUCCAUUUUUUAUGAUUAAAAGAUAAAAUUACCUUAGGGAUAACAGCGUAA
rnacentral:rRNA from 1 species